CGCGACAAAGGCAAACCUGUCGAAAGGCAGGGACGCAAAGCUACAGGGUCUAAGUCCGAACGUGCAACCGAGCGUCGGAUAUCGACAGCCUGGCUACCGAAA
rnacentral:ncRNA from 1 species